AGACACACCAGUGAAAAUAACAGAGGGAAGAUCUAAUUAAGCACAAACAGAAAUGACAGAGGUAACAUUACAACCAAUCACACAGAAAUACAAAAGAUCGUCAGAG